CUGAACCAGCAACUUGGAGGAAUGUAUAGCGAAAGCUAGUUGCAUUACUAACAGGAUAGUGCAGCAUUGACUAUGUCAACUAAAGUUCUAGGUAGAGUUAUGAUUAUGACAUUUUCUACCUAUGUGUCUUGACCAAAUCACGUGCCAGCAGUCGCGGUAAUACGUGGAAGACUAGUGUUAUUCAUCUUUAGUAGGUUUAAAGGGUACUUAGACGGUAAAUUCAGCCCAAUAAAUAAGGGUACUGAUAAGACUAGAGUUUUAUACGAGGGGGAGACGGGAGUACUACCGGUGUAGAGAUGAAAUUUUGUCAUACCGCUAGGACUGGCAACGGCGAAAGCAACCCUUUAUGUAAAAACUGACGUUGAAGGACGAAGGCUUGGUUCACCAACAGGAUUAGUUACCCCAGCAGUCUGAGCAGACAAUGAUGAAUGUCAUAGAUAGGAAAUACUAUUAUCUGUCUAUAAAUGAAAGUGUAAGCAUUCCACCUCAAGAGUAAUGCGGCAACGCAUAAACUGAAAUCAUUAGACCGUUUCUGAAACCAGUAGUGAAGUAUGUUGUUUAAUUAGAUAGUCCUCUAAAAACCUCACCACAAUUUGUAUGUUUAUUUUAUAUAAAUACAAGCGUUGCACGGCUGUCUUCAGUUAAUGUCGUGAGAUUAUGGUUAGUUCCAUUAAUUAACGUAAACCCUUACUUUAUUUAAUUAAAUAUAUAAAGUAGUUCACCGCUAUAUUGGAUUUGAUAAUAGGGACUAAGACAAGUCAUCAUGACCUAAACAUUGUGGGCUAUAGACGUGCUACAUAAGACUACACAAAGGGAUG
rnacentral:rRNA from 1 species